rnacentral:rRNA from 1 species
UACAGAGGUCUCAAGCGUUGUUCGGAUUCAUUGGGCGUAAAGGGUGCGUAGCGGCGCCGUAAGUCGGGUGUGAAAUUUCGGAGCUUAACUCCGAACUGCAUUCGAUACUGCGGUGCUUGAGGACUGGAGAGGAGACUGGAAUUUACGGUGUAGCGGUGAAAUGCGUAGAUAUCGUAAGGAAGACCAGUGGCGAAGGCGGGUCUCGUGG